rnacentral:rRNA from 1 species
AAUGAACGCUGGCGGCGCGCCUAAUACAUGCAAGUCGAGCGAGAAGACGUAGCAAUACGUUUGUAAAGCGGCGAACGGGUGAGGAAUACAUGGGUAACCUACCCUCGAGUGGGGAAUAACUAGCCGAAGGUUAGCUAAUACCGCGUACGCUUCUUGGACUUCGGUUCAGGGAGGAAAGCGAUGCCGAGGGUAUCGCGCUCUUGGAUGGGCUCAUGUCCUAUCAGCUUGUUGGGAGGUAACGGCUCACCAAGGCUUCGACGGGUAGCUGGUCUGAGAGGACGAUCAGCCACACUGGCACUGCGACGACGGGCCA